UUUAAAGAGAGUUUGAUCCUGGCUCAGGACGAACGCUGGCGGCGUGCCUAAUACAUGCAAGUCGAACGAACGGAGGAAGAGCUUGCUCUUCCAAAGUUAGUGGCGGACGGGUGAGUAACACGUGGGCAACCUGCCUGUAAGUUGGGGAUAACUCCGGGAAACCGGGGCUAAUACCGAAUGAUAAAGUGUGGCGCAUGCCACGCUUUUGAAAGAUGGUUUCGGCUAUCGCUUACAGAUGGGCCCGCGGUGCAUUAGCUAGUUGGUAGGGUAAUGGCCUACCAAGGCAACGAUGCAUAGCCGACCUGAGAGGGUGAUCGGCCACACUGGGACUGAGACACGGCCCAGACUCCUACGGGAGGCAGCAGUAGGGAAUCUUCCGCAAUGGACGAAA
rnacentral:rRNA from 1 species